rnacentral:rRNA from 1 species
UGGGGAAUAUUGCACAAUGGGCGAAAGCCUGAAGCAGCAACGCCGCGUGGAGGAUGAAGGGUCUAUGACUUGUAAACUCCUGUAAAGAAGGAAAAAAUUCCCAUUUGAUGGGAGAUGAUGGUACUUCUGGAGUAAGCCCCGGCUAACUACGUGCCAGCAGCCGCGGUAAUACGUAGGGGGCAAGCGUUGUCCGGAUUUACUGGGUGUAAAGGGUGCUCAGGCGGAUUUGUAAGUCAGAGGUGAAAUCUUACAGCUUAACUGUGAAACUGCCUUUGAUACUGCAAGCCUAGAGUAUGGAAGAGAGUGAUGGAAUAUCUGGUGUAGCAGUGAAAUGCGUAGAUAUCAGAUAGAACACCAAUGGCGAAGGCAGUCACUUGGUCCAUUACUGACGCUAAAGCACGAAAGCGUGGGUAGCAAACA